rnacentral:lncRNA from 1 species
GUCCGGGUAAUUAAAAUUUCCAAUAAUUAACGUGUUACCCCAAUUUGCAGCUUUCCCAAUUUGCUCUAACAGUUGUUCUUGCUUAUUAAGAUUUACAUUAGGUGGUUUAUAACAUAUCCCAACCAAUAAUUGAUUUCCCUUCGUCUGCCCCAAGCAAAUAUCUACCCAUAAAGCUUCCACAUUUUUCUCGUCACACUCCACAUGCUUAAGAUUUGACUUUAACUCAUGGUUCACAUACAAACAUACCCCACCACCCUUCUUGUUUUUUCUAUCCUUCCUAAAUAACGUGUACCCAUUUAAGUUAACUGCCCAGUCAUGUGUCUCUUCCCACCAUGUUUCUGUUAUGC